UUUCAGAAGGUUACUAUACUGUUGUGAUACAUAACAAACAAUAAAUCAGAAGUUAGAUCCAUCAGUGUAUAUGCUAGGAUGUCUAAGGAGAAUAAAUUUUCCAUUCAUUCUAUACCUUUGCAGACUCAGCUACAAUUUCUGGAAGUUCAUUAGCCAUAACAUCAUUCAAAGCCUACAUCCAAUUUGCAACCAGAACUACCUAUAUAACCGGCAUUUAAUUAUACAGUUUAUGCUAAGAACCUGAGUAGUAGUAGAAAAAUGAAUCACCGAAUGGUUAUUUCACAACAUUGCUCAAGCCUUAACAUCAUCAAAGCCGGCGACGAACUUAUAACCAGAAGUACCUAGUAUUAUUUUACUGGCUUAUGCUAAGCAUCUUAGUAGCAGUAGAAAGAGUAAUCGUUAAAUGGUUAUUUCACAAGGUUACUCAAACUGUAAAAGGUCGUAUUUCUAUCAGUUCUGGACCUUCUGGUGACACCAAUAAAAUGUAAUUUCUCGAUCUAGUCUGAAGUCUAUAAUUGUCCAUGGAAGAGAACAGAAAUGUAAAUAAAAUUUAUUAUGAGCAUGCUAUAUAUUGCUUUUUGCCAGCUCAUGAUUCAAUAUGUUCAAACAGCAAAAACAUGUGUUCUUUUUAAUUCAAACUACAAUGUCGAGCAAACCAACCAAAAUUUAUCUUUUUGUUCUUAUUUUUAUAUUUAAAUUUAUAUAUUAAUUAACUCCAUGGCAUAUAAAUUCCCAUGCUAAAGGAAGCGUUCCAAGAAUCACAUCACCUGCUCCCAAGUGAAUCUCUUAUGAAUCAACAACAUACAUGAAGCUCGUAGCGGGUGCUCUGGAACAGGGUUUAUCAUCUAUGAAUAGAACUUCGUUAAUGGUAUAAGAGACUCCAGAAUAGCUGCUCUGGAAAGUACUUCAUGUAGGUUGCUGAUCAAAUAAAUAAUUAAACAUAAAAAAAUAAGAAGAGAAAGCAUGGAAAAAGAUGUUAUUUGAGUAAUUACUACCAGGCAGAAAACUCCUACUGUCCAUGAAUUACAGAUAAUUCUUAUUGUACCAUGAGUCAUGCAUGAACAAAAAUCCCCUGCAAAGAACUACAGAAAUACUGUAAGAAAUUGUAGAAACCGAAUUCAUGUAUUGACAGAGAUCCAAAGUCCGCAAGAUGAUAAUGAGGGAAACACCAAUGGACUGAAAACAUUAGCAAACAUAGACGCGACAGCUUUUUGGCAAGUCCCAAUUCCCAAGCCUAAAUAUUAAGGAACACGUGGCUAACUACAUCAACUUGUUUACCACUAUUCAUGUCAGGUGACACCACCAUCCUCCUCGCCACGCUGCUGAUUGCUAGAUGUCCCCAUCUCCUUGUUUUUUCUCUUGUAGGUCAAUCCUCUUGUUGUAAUGUUUCACGUGGCAUACCAGUCCUCUCCCUGAGUUAUCAUCCUUGCACAUCUUUACCUCCGAUGCUUCCCCUCCCCAUCUUAUUGUUGUCAAUCAACUCAUCCUCAAGACUGAAAGGAGCAAACCAUCGGAUUAUUUCCCAGAGAAAUGGAC
rnacentral:lncRNA from 1 species